rnacentral:lncRNA from 1 species
UUGGGAAUUAAGACACAUCACAGGGCUGGAAAUUCUGAAUGACUGACCAGACUGGAGUACAGGCCAGAGCUAUUAUUUAUGGCCUAUAGAAAAGCAGGACCCACCCAGCUGCACCCAUCAGGGCAUUUGCAUGCUGCUUCCUGGGGAGGACCUUCCUGCAAGGCUGUCAUAAAAGCUCAGCUCUAACCUGCCCUUGACUCACCAGGGCUCCUCAGCUCAGCUUCUCAAGAUGAGGCUCCCUGCUCAGCUCCUGGGGCUGCUGCUGCUCUGGAUCCCUGGUAAGGACAGAGAGGAUGGGGAAGGAGAAAGGAGAAGGGGUGA